UACGUAGGGUGCGAGCGUUGUCCGGAAUUAUUGGGCGUAAAGAGCUCGUAGGCGGUUUGUCGCGUCGGCCGUGAAAACUUGGGGCUUAACCCCAAGCCUGCGGUCGAUACGGGCAGACUUGAGUUCGGCAGGGGAGACUGGAAUUCCUGGUGUAGCGGUGAAAUGCGCAGAUAUCAGGAGGAACACCGGUGGCGAAGGCGGGUCUCUGGGCAACAACUGACGCUGAGGAGCGAAAGCGUGGGGAGCGAACCGG
rnacentral:rRNA from 1 species